rnacentral:lncRNA from 1 species
CACACACAGUGGGUGCUCAUUACUAGCUUGCUGUCUUCUCUCAUCCACUCCAGCAUUCUCUUGGAUGCCUGCUUCAUGUUAACUCGGUGCGAUGAAUUCCUCGAGGCCAUGGCUUCUGAACCUUUGAACCCACCAGAACUGCUGGCAGAGCCGUGCACACUUGAGCACUCAGCAAAUGGCUACCAGGUACCUGCACAAGGGUAAGCACUGUGCCAGGGACUGAGGGCUCGGCCUCGAGUGGGACAGGAUAACCAGGCAGUGAAGGUGCCCUGUGGGUAUCUGUUAGACAUACGGUGGCCGAGACUGUUACCUGCGGUCUACCCCGGGGAAGAAGCCUGCCCCUUUACUCUUGACCAUUUGGCAUUCUGGGAGACAGGGGUAUCCUAGGGUGUUUAUUCUGAGGCGUAGGGAGCUCACUGGGUAAAGCACCAUGGAACCUGACCUGGGAUCCCCAGAACUCAUGUAAUGCUAGAUUCAGGACCCGGCAUCUCUUGUCAGGUUUCCUACACCAAGAUGGGAGGCAGGGACAGGUGAGUCCCCAGACUGCCUCACUUAUGGAGUGGUGAACGGGACAGUCUGUCCCAAACAAGGUGGAAGGUGAGAGCUGGCCCCUGAGGUUGUCCUCUGACCUCCAUAUGUGUGCUGCGGCCGUGUGCCCACGAGUACACAGUACACACAGAGAUAUAAGAGCGCACACAGCGUGCUGGGGGCCUGAGACACAGAGAGAGACAGAGAUCUCGCCUCCCCUGCCCUCAGCUCAGUACUUUGUUCAGCUUGAGCAAGAAACCGGCACAGAGCAUGAGAUGGACCCGAGCCGAAUCCGAUGGUUAAAAACCAGCAUGUAGAUGCUGGGACACACAAGAGGGAACCCGGGUAGACAGAGAGCCAGCGGGCAGACACGGAGGCAAGGAGGAGAGGGUGGGCGGACUCAGUGGUGGGCAGGUGUCGCCAGCCUUGGGAUUCACUACUCUGGGGCCAAGCAGCUGGUCAGAAACAAAAACAAACACCAGGGGGUACAGGCUCCUGCUGUUAACAGCUUCAAACCACCAGAGGAAAACUCCAAAUAAAUAUAAUUAGAAACUUGU